rnacentral:rRNA from 1 species
UACGUAGGGUGCGAGCGUUAAUCGGAAUUACUGGGCGUAAAGCGUGCGCAGGCGGUUUUGUAAGCCAGGUGUGAAAUCCCCGGGCUCAACCUGGGAACUGCAUCUGUGACUGCAUCGCUGGAGUGCGGCAGAGGGGGAUGGAAUUCCGCGUGUAGCAGUGAAAUGCGUAGAUAUGCGGAGGAACACCGAUGGCGAAGGCAAUCCCCUGGGCCUGCACUGACGCUGAGGCGCGAAAGCGUGGGGAGCAAACAGG